UGGGAUUACAGGCGUGAGCCAUCAUGCCCAGCCCCUUUUUUUUUUUUUUUUUUUUUUUUUUUUGAGACAGAGUCUUUCUCUGUUACUCAGGCUGGAGUGCGGUGGGGCCACCUUGGCUCCCUACAACCUCCACCUCCCGGGUUCAAGUGAUUCUCAUGCCUCAACCUGCCAAGUAGCUAAGAUUACAGGCGUGUGCCACUACGCCCAGCUAUUUUUUUUUUUAUUUUUAUUUUUAGUAGACAGGGUUUUGCGAUGUUGCCUAGGCUGGUCUUGAAGUCCUGACCUCAGGUGAUCCACCUGCCUCAGCCUCCCAAAGUGCUGGAAUUACAAACGUGAGCCACCGCACCUGGCCCCUCCCAUAUUUUAAUAAGGAUUGUUUCCCUCAAAUGUGCAGGAAGCUUGAGGGAGGAGUUGGGUGUAUUUACCAUCCGUACCACUCAUUCCCCUAGGGUGGGAAGAGAAGCUAUAAAAAGUGAAGCACCGUCCACCUUUAUUCACUGUUUCUUCCCAACUUCGUUCUUCCCCUGCAGAUGGACCUUGUGUUACCCACACUUUCCUCUGGGAUUGACCCAACAACAGGAAUUGUGCCUGGUGCCUACUUACUAAAUCCUCAGCCUCAAAAGUAAGGAUGUACAAAAGUCAUUACUUAAAAAAAAUUUUUUUAAGGUAUGACCUUCAUAUUUAAAGUGAAAUGUGCAGAAAGGCAGAGGUCCAUACGAGCACAUAAUCUGUAUAAACAAAUGAACUCAAUGGUUAUUAGGCAGUCAGUUUAAGUAUCUGAUAUUUGUCCACAUCAUCCGCAGUGAUCAGCCUGGAUUCUUCCUCUUAAAUUUUAAAUAAUAACCUUGGAAGAAGGGAGACGCAUCUCCUUUAUUUCUAGUUAAGAAAAAACAACAGGCCAGAGAGCAUAACAGUAAUUUAUGAUUUUGCUGGUGUAUUAUCAUCCACUAAUAAGUGCAACUUGAAACUACCAAUUAUCUCAUAAGAGGGGUAUCACCUUUUCUGUUGUGAAUGACUACAUCGAUAAACGGAGGUUCAGCUCCCUCACUCUUCGUCACGUCACCAGCAGCUUCUUAGCAGCAGAAGUGAGCCAACCAGGGAAGCAGAGGAAAAACAAAAACAGUCAACACACAAACACGCAAGUUAGCCCAGCCUCUGGCCCGGGAACCCAGAGAGGGGCUGGGGAAGACAGAGAAAGACAGGGGGAGGGGGCCGCGUGGAAGCGCCUAGAGCAGUCGGCAGGUCACACACACGCGGUGCUCGGCGGCAAACUCAGUUUACAAAGAGACAUCUGUUCCAUUACUCCAAUGCAUUGUGGCUAAUUACAUCCUGGCCCGUCUGUGAAAUGACAGCCACUUAUUCUCCAGUGAACCGUAAAAUCUGUACAUGUUCGAUUUGGGGAGUGGGAGAGCAGAGGCGUGGAGGCUAGAGUGGGAGGAAGAAGGGGGGCAGCCAAGGGGAAAGAGAAAAGACAGGAGAAAACCGAGAAACAACACUUUCUGGCAAGAUCAUCACAACCCUAGUGGAAGGAAUAUGAUGAGAAAUACAGUGCUUCGACUCUGAGUUCGAGGCCCUAAGUUUACCAUGCAAGAAUUUAUUCUCACAGCUGUUGCUUUUCCUUGUUAUUCAAAGGCUGCAGUGCCAAGGGGUGGCCGCUUGAAGGUCUCCAUCAUCAUUACGCAGGGGUUGUGGCUUGGGGAUAGACCGACUUGCCCAUUUGCUUCAGUCCCCAGGGGCUACUGAUGGGAUGGGGGUGGGGGCUCUCCACCAGCUCUUCAGAAGAAUGAAUCACAGUAUCCCUUCUCACACGGGAACCUGAAUUAGCAGAAAGCCUCUUUAAUAGAUUGUGCUUAGGCUGGGGGUGGGGCUUCCUGAAGAGUGGGAAGAAAUUUGGGAUCUUUAAGAGGAAAAACCAGUGAAAGAAGGGGAAAAAUCAGGUUGGGGGCAGGGGGAUGCUCCCCCUGCUUUCAGUUGACAUUAAAACUUUAUCCUAACAAAAACCCAAAAUCACUUAUGUAACUUUGUGACAGGCACAAGGGAAAUAGAAAUGGCAAAUAGAGAACGCUGCCAUUUUGAAAUGAGACUUCAAUCCAGCGUGGGUUUUAAUAGGAAACUUAUCUUCAUUCCUACACAAAAGCUUUCUGCUAGAGGACUCACACACUUCUGUUGGAAUCUAUACUAGACACAACUGAUGAUAUAGUGGUGUGCUACUGUGGUUAAACAUUGAUCUUUCUUCCUCUUGCAACAAUACAAUACUGUAUUCUGUGGAUCACAACUGUGGGCCUGAAAGAUCUGGCAGCUCUCUGGAGGGAGGGGUUACCCAGUAGCUUUGCACCAGCCACUAGGCAGUUUAGUGGCGGUAGCACGUAGACUGGGCCACUUCUGUAUGUGGCCUGGGGAUCCCCGUGGCCGGCCAGCGCCCUCUGUAAGACAGCGCUUCUUGAAGGUGCGUUGCAGUCACUGGGAGCUGGCAAACGCAGAUUCCAAUUCAGUAGGUCUGGGCUAGGGCCUGAGCUUUGCAUUUCUAACAAGUUCCAAAGUGAUGCUGAUGCUGAUGGUUCCCUGGAGAAUACCCUCCCUCACACACACCUGCCCAAUCCUCAUUAGGUUGGGCUAAUGUGGGGAAAGGUUGGAAUAUAGCACAGUUCCUCCAACAUGAAGCAGUGCAUUUAAUUGCUCUAGGAAUUUUACUAAUUUUGAGUCAAAAUAAUUUUAACAACUCUGUAUCAACCACGGAGAUGUCAUAAAAUUGAUCAAAGGGUGACUACCCCUUUCUGGGAGAAGGGGGAGGGAGGGUUAAGUCUAGUUAGAGAGAGGGUAUGAACCGUGAAAUAGGCCCUGAUUUUAUGUUUACUCCAAGAAGUUAAUUUUGAUCACUGCAAAGGGAAAAGUAAUCUUAAAAGAGUUCUGGACUUUCAUUCAUGUUGUACUAAUAUGUUUCCUGUUGGCUGAGGAAACAAGCAGCUCUGGCAAAAAUCCCACUUAUAGGGAGAGGGGAACAAGACAAGGGGGAUCUCCCCACUUCUGAUGUGUGUUCUUGCAUAGUGUUUUGGAUUUAACUAGAAUGAACUAAAGUUUAACUAAAGUAAAUGUUUUCACUAAGAGCAGGGGCUGAAGAGAGGUGACCCCUUCAUCCCAGCUCAGGGAUGGCCCUGUGUGUCAGCAGUGUGCAUAAGCACGCUUGGUUGCAUGCAUGUUUAUACUUCUGUCCCAAGUUGGUAGUGAAUGAGUUUUAGUUUAUGCCUCAGGGCGCCUGAUAUUAUGCUACAAAUUCUAAGUGUUCAAUGAACACUGCUGACUGACUAAAGACAUGUGAGCUCAGCUUUCAUUUAUUAUUUGAGGCGUCCCGAGGCUGAUUUUGUUUCAGUUCUUGUUAUAUUCCUUCCAGACUCUGAACCUAUGGCUUUCUAUGAACCAGAAAACAGACUAGUCCAUAACUGAGGUUAAAAGUCCAUUCUGGUGUGGGUCCUAAUAUACAGAUACCCAUGAUAAUACUAUACAGACUGGAAAAAUAGUUUUAAGGCUGAAAGGAGACUAGAGAUGAUCUAAUUUGACUUCUCCAAUUUAUCAACGGGGACCUGCCCUAUUUUUACUCGGUGGCCUAUGGUCAUUGAGGCUAAAUGAGUAACUAGGUAGGGUGAGGUCUUUGACUUGAGAGUUUUUUCUGUUGCAUCCUGCUGCAUGUCCCCCAAAGUUUCAUAUAACUUUUCCAAAGAAGGCCUUAAUUUUCUUCAUACAAUGACAGAAGAGUCAAAUGUUAUCUUCAUGAAGGAACUGAUUGUGGCUCAAAGGAAGUCAAUUUAAACGCAAAGAUGAUGGGAAAAAUUCCAUCUAUAUAAUGGAAAAGAGAAUAACAUUAUAAUUCAGGGAGCUGAGACUCAGGAAUACAUUUUGAUGCUUACUCAUGAAGGUGCCUGGUGAGGGGUCUGGGGACUGCACCACAGGGGGCCAAUGGGACUGUGCAGGAGACAGCGGAUGACACAGAACCUUAUCAGGGAAGCCAGUAAAGGUGGUAGAUCAUGUGACCCUUGGCCCUCUAGGGCUGAAAUGCCAGUAAGAAGAUAUUGAACCUCACCAUUCUGUCUCUUCACUUUCACGGCAGUUUCUAUAGAUAAACUACAUCAUAAAGUGAACCAAAAUAACAGACACAUAAAUAAACAGGUAAAUUCACACAGGACCCCAAAGGUGUUAUAGAGACCAGACACACAUCUACAUUUCAGCUCCUCAAUCAAUUUGUCUGUUUCACCCGCCUAUCGUCUGCCAGCUCAUCAGUAAAUGAAAAAAGCUAGAAGGGGCAAUUGGGAGAAAAGCAUCAAUGCCAUAAAAAUCACAGACCUCUGCAGUAUAGGAUUACUGGGGCAGGAGGUAGGGUGGUGACAGGAAAUACCCUCAGAGGGUUGUUAUGAGAACUAUUUCCAAUUCAAAACAACAAUGAUGAUCCUCUUUAUUCAAUUAUCAACUUCUGCUGUCUUAAUGCCAUGUUUUGGGGAGGUCAAAUUACCAAUUAAAAAUGGCAUACCACAGUUCCAGCAAGCCAGCCCCAGGAGGUUAGCCAAGUGCUGGAGCCCUCCUUUGAUAGAAUGGCGAGGGGCCUUUCUGGCUUCCUGGCUCUUGUGCCCUUCUCCAGAGAUGUAGGAAUGCUGGAGAGCCCGGGCCUAUGUUGUUCUUGGUGGAAUACAGCAUCAUUCACACUUACUAAGUUGCUACUGCUAUUUGGCUAUUUCUCUUAGACAGUAUGAGAAACUUUCAGAUCUUUAAUUUGCUAAAGAAUUACUACCUCUGGUCGGGUGCAGUGGCUGAAGCCUGUAAUCCCAGCACUUUGGGAGGCCA
rnacentral:lncRNA from 10 species